rnacentral:rRNA from 1 species
AGCAGUCGCCACGGGAAUACGUAGGUGGCAAGCGUUGUCCGGAAUUAUUGGGCGUAAAGCGCGCGCAGGCGGUUUCUUAAGUCUGAUGUGAAAGCCCCCGGCUUAACCGGGGAGGGUCAUUGGAGACUGGGAGACUUAGAGUGCAGAAGAGGAGAGUGGAAUUCCAUGUGUAGCGGUGAAAUGCGUAGAUAUAUGGAGGAACACCAGUGGCGAAGGCGACUCUCUGGUCUGUAACUGACGCUGAGGCGCGAAAGCGUGGGGAGCAAACAGGAUUAGAUACCCGCGUAGUCCCUGUCUCUUAUA